GAUGAACGCUGGCGGCGUGCUUAACACAUGCAAGUCGAACGGAAAGGCCCAAGCUUGCUUGGGUACUCGAGUGGCGAACGGGUGAGUAACACGUGGGUGAUCUGCCCUGCACUUCGGGAUAAGCCUGGGAAACUGGGUCUAAUACCGGAUAGGACCACAUUUUGGAUGGUGUGGUGGAAAGUUUUUCGGUGUGGGAUGAGCUCGCGGCCUAUCAGCUUGUUGGUGGGGUAAUGGCCUACCAAGGCGUCGACGGGUAGCCGGCCUGAGAGGGUGUACGGCCACAUUGGGACUGAGAGACGGCCCAGACGCCUACGGGAGGCAGCAGUGGGGAAUAUUGCACAAUGGGCGCAAGCCUGAUGCAGCGACGCCGCGUGGGGGAUGACGGCCUUCGGGUUGUAAACGGCUUUCGCGAGGGACGAAGCGCAAGUGACGGUACCUGGAGAAGAAGCACCGGCUAACUACGUG
rnacentral:rRNA from 1 species